rnacentral:rRNA from 1 species
AGAUGGGAGAAUUAAAGCUAAUGGUGGAUGCCUAGGUAGUUUGAGCCGAAGAAGGACGCGUGUAUGAGCGCGAUAACAACGGUUAGUCCUCUAACAGACAUUAUCAACCGUUGGUUUCCAAAUGGAGUAAUCCUUGCUUGCGCAAGCAAGCAGAGUCCCUGUUUCGCAAGAAAUUUCAAAUUCCAAGAAACAAGAUACAAAAAAAUUUCAAAAAUUCAAUUUUCAAAUAUUCAAUGUUUGUUUCUUGUGGGUUGGUUAUUGGAGCUUCCUGCGAAGCAGGGAUGGGGAACCUGGUGAACUGAAACAUCUAAGUAACCAGAGGAAAAUAAAACACAUGUGAUUUCGUUAGUAGCGGCGAGCGAAAGCGAAACAGUCUAAACUUGUGCGCAGCACAAGAGUUAAAUAGAUAAUUAGUUAUGAGUUACUUAGUCCAAAAACUAAGCAACUAAUUAACUAAAAAACUAAUAACUCUCGCGCUGCGCGCGAGGGUUGUAGGGCAGAUAAUAUGGGAUUGAUUGCGGAUAGGAGAAUGAUCUGGAAAGAUCAAUCAUAGAAAGUGAUAAUCUUGUAUCCUAAAUCCAAAAUCACCCUAUUCUGUUCCUAAGUACCACGAGUCACGGCAAACCUUGUGGGAAGCCGGGUCGGUCACGAUCCAAGACUAAACACUCAAACUAACCGAUAGUGAACUAGUACCGUGAGGGAAAGGUGAAAAGUCCCCCGAGAGGGGAGUGAAAUAGAACCUGAAACCAUUAGCUAACAAACAAUGAGAGCUCGUGCGUGGAACAAGGCUAAAUUUCUAAUUUCUAAUUGCUCUAAUUUAUCUAAUUUUUUAGAUUAAUUGGUAAUUAAGUUAAUUAGGUUAAUUUAUCCUCGCGCUGCGCGCGAGUGAUCAUGUGCCUAUUGAAGAAUGAGCCAGCGAGUAUUCCAACGUGCGCUACGCUUAAGCCCGAUACAAUCGGGUGGAGGCAGAGCGAAAGCGAGUCCUAAUAGGGCGUUUUUGUGCCGUUGGUAUGACCCGAAACUGGGUGAGCUAACCUUGAGCAGGAUGAACCCCGAUCACAAUCGGGGGGAGGUCCGUACCCGUUGUUGGUGAAAUAGCAUGGGACGACUUGAGGUUAGGGGUUAUAUGCCUAUCGAACCCAGAGAUAGCUGGUUCUCCCCGAAAUAUAUUUAGGUAUAGCCUUCCGUUAAUUUUUUGUGGGAUAGAGCUACUAGAUGUCCCGCCAAGCGUAAGCAAGGCGGGACAACUAAACUCCGAAUACGCAAAAAUUACUACGGAGGAGUCAGUCUUGCCCGGAUAAGCGGGUAUAGGCGAAAGGGAAACAUCCCAGAUUCCCGUCUAAGGUUCUAAAAUGUUUUUUAAGUGGAGAAGGCCGUUGAAUUUCCAACACAGUAGGGAGGUUGGCUCAGAAGCAGCCAUCCUUUAAAGAGUGCGUAACAGCUCACCUAAAUAGCCCUCCGAUUCGGAGGGGAAAUUCUGCGCCUAAAAUGAACGGAGCUAAAAAAACUACCGAAGACGGAGACUUGUGCAAAGCACAAGAAAUUUCAAUAACCAAGAUACAAGAUACAAACAAUAAUCAAAUACUACAAAUUAUUCAAAUAAGCAAAUAAAAUAACAAAUUAUUGAAUGAUUUAAUCAUUAAAUCUUUAUUAAAUUUAUUUGUCGGAUUUGUUUAUUUGUAAUUUUAAAUUUGUUUGGAAUACUUGUUGAUUGUAAUUUGGAGCUUCUUGAGCUUUGCUCAAGUGGUAGGGGAGCGUCCCGACAACAAUGAAGGUGAACCGUAAGGUUUGCUGGAGUGGUCGGGAGCGAGAAUGCUGGCAUAAGUAGUGUAUCUCUCGAUGAAAACUCGAGAUGCCGAAAACCCAAGGUUUCCUCAGCAAUGUCUAUCAUCUGAGGGUUAGUCGGAUCUAAGUGAUAUGCAGUUUUGUAUAUCGCGACGUAUAAGCAGUUAAAAUUCUGCUACUUUGAUAUUUUCGUUAUUACUUGCAUUUUGACGAAGUUUGAUACCCCGACCCUUAUUUAUAGGGGUCAAGUUAUAAGCUUUUGCGAAUAACAAAUACAAUUCUAAUGUAAUGUUGGGAAAGUCGGGGGACUUAAGUUUCCAAGAAAAAAGAUGCAAGGAGAAGAUAUUGAAUCCGUACCGAUAACCGACACUGGUGGGUUGGUCGAGUAGACCAAGGCAUACGGGUAAUGAUGAUUUAAGGAACUCGGCAAAAAAACUGAGCGUAAGUUUUCGAUAUGCUCUGUCCCGAUUUAAUCGGGAUCACAGCAAAUGUUUGUCAACCGACUGUUUAGCAAAAACACAGGCCCCUGCUAACCUGAAUAAGGGAUGUAUAGGGGCUGAAAUCUGUCCGGUACUGGUAAGUCAAUCGUUGCGGCUGACUUUAAGCAAUUAGAGAAGGUUGCGAUGCAAGCUCCAGUGAACGACAGCUCUAACCCUGAGAGUUCUAAGGUAGCGUAACCCCUUGCCGGGUAAGUUCCGGCCCGCAUGAAAGGUCUAACNNNNNNNNNNUUGCCGGGUAAGUUCCGGCCCGCAUGAAAGGUCUAACGAGUUGACAACUGUCUUGAAUCAUCUCCCGACGAAUUUGAAAUGGCUGUGAAGAUGCGGCCUACCUACACCUGGACAAAAAGACCCCGAGAGCUUAACUGAAGCUAGGCAUUGGUAAAAAGAAAUGAACUGUUGAGAGUAGGAGGGAGUCUUCGGACAACGAUGAAACACCUCUCUUUUGUCUUUUUUUACCUUAUCCCGCCUUUGGCGGGAGAAAGUACUUGGUGGUCAGUUUAACUGGGGCGGUUUCCUCCAAAAUAGUAACGGAGGAGCGCAAAGGUUAGCUUAUCUCGCAUAGAAAUCGGGAUGUACGUGCAAACGCAUAAGCUGGCCUAACUGUGAGGAUGACUAUCCUAGCAGACACGAAAGUGGGCGUUAGUGAUCCUCGGUCUCGCUGUGAUGGCGGACCGGGCUUAACGGAUAAAAGCUACCUCGGGGAUAACAGGCUGGUGACGUCCGAGAGUUCAUAUCGACGACGUCGUUCGGCACCUCGAUGUCGGCUCAUCGCAUCCUGGAGGUGAAGUAGCUUCCAAUGGUCGGGCUGUUCGCCCGUUAAAGCGGUACGCGAGUUGGGUUCAGAACGUCGUGAGACAGUUAGUUUAAUUUAAAACCGAGCUGUACUCUUCUUUUCGACGUUUGAAUAUUCGAGUAUAAUGUUCCUAAGUUAUCCACGGUCUUUUUGAUUUGAAUAGAAUAAAAGAAUAUAAAUCUGGCUGUAUGCUGGAAACUCUUGUAAAAAGCAAACUACUCACGAUAUAGUUUAUCGAAGUGAAAAUGUUUGUUUCAUUUCUAUAUUUUAGGUAUUGAAAGCAAGACAAUCAGCAGGAAAGAUUUUUUGUAGUAUGUCACUUUAUUUUCUUAUUAAUACCAAGUAGAGAAAAGUGUAUGGAGAGUUAAUAGCUCAACAACUACAAAAAAAAUCCUCACAGACUAUACGCCAGACCCCGACUUAGUCGGGGAAGAUAUAGUCGAAAUUUUUUUGUCGGACUCUAUCCGGUGUAGGCGAUUAGAAUUUUGAAGAGACUCUUCCACAGUACGAGAGGACCUGGAAGAAGAAACCCCUGGUCUACCGGUUGUCCCAAAAGGGCAUCGCCGGGUAGCUAUGUUUCUAUUUGAUAAACACUGAAUGCAUAUCAAGUGUGAAGCAAACUCUAAGAUUAAAAUUCCCUAUAGCUUCCUCGAAGAUUACGAGGUUGAUAGGCGUCAAGUGUAAGCCAUGUAAGUGGUUAAGCUGAGACGUACUAACUAGCGAUCUCCCAUCUUU